AGAGUUUGAUCAUGGCUCAGGACGAACGCUGGCGGCGUGCCUAAUACAUGCAAGUCGAGCGCGUGAAACUUCUAGAUCCCUUCGGGGUGACAGUUGUGGAUCGAGCGGCGGACGGGUGAGUAACACGUGGGCAACCUGCCUGUAAGACUGGGAUAACUUCGGGAAACCGGAGCUAAUACCGGAUAAUCAUUGACACCGCAUGGUGUGAAUGUAAAAGAUGGUUCUGCCAUCCCUUACAGAUGGGCCCGCGGCGCAUUAGCUAGUUGGUGGGGUAAAGGCCUACCAAGGCAACGAUGCGUAGCCGACCUGAGAGGGUGAUCGGCCACACUGGGACUGAGACACGGCCCAGACUCCUACGGGAGGCAGCAGUAGGGAAUCUUCGGCAAUGGACGAAAGUCUGACCGAGCAACGCCGCGUGAGUGAUGAAGGUCUUCGGAUCGUAAAGCUCUGUUGUCAGAGAAGAACACGUGACAGAGGAAAUGCUGUCAUCUUGACGGUAUCUGACCAGAAAGCCCCGGCUAACUACGUGCCAGCAGCCGCGGUAAUACGUAGGGGGCAAGCGUUGUCCGGAAUUAUUGGGCGUAAAGCGCGCGCAGGCGGCUUCUUAAGUCUGAUGUGAAAGCCCACGGCUCAACCGUGGAGGGUCAUUGGAAACUGGGGAGCUUGAGUGCAGAAGAGGAGAGUGGAAUUCCACGUGUAGCGGUGAAAUGCGUAGAGAUGUGGAGGAACACCAGUGGCGAAAGCGGCUCUCUGGUCUGUAACUGACGCUGAGGCGCGAAAGCGUGGGGAGCAAACAGGAUUAGAUACCCCCGUAGUCC
rnacentral:rRNA from 1 species